rnacentral:rRNA from 1 species
CCUACGGGAGGCUGCAGUGGGGAAUAUUGGACAAUGGGGGCAACCCUGAUCCAGCCAUGCCGCGUGUGUGAAGAAGGCCCUCGGGUUGUAAAGCACUUUCAGUGAGGAAGAACGCCUGGUGGUUAAUACCCAUCAGGAAAGACAUCACUCACAGAAGAAGCACCGGCUAACUCCGUGCCAGCAGCCGCGGUAAUACGGAAGGUGCGAGCGUUAAUCGGAAUUACUGGGCGUAAAGCGCGCGUAGGUGGCUUGAUAAGCCGGUUGUGUAAGCCCCGGGCUCAACCUGGGAACGGCAUCCGGAACUGUCAAGCUAGAGUGCAGGAGAGGAAGGUAGAAUUCCCGGUGUAGCGGUGAAAUGCGUAGAGAUCGGGAGGAAUACCAGUGGCGAAGGCGGCCUUCUGGACUGACACUGACACUGAGGUGCGAAAGCGUGGGUAGCAAACAGGAUUAGAUACCCGAGUAGUC